rnacentral:rRNA from 1 species
GUGCCAGCCGCUGCGGUAAUACGGAGGGGCUAGCGUUGUUCGGAAUUACUGGGCGUAAAGCGCACGUAGGCGGAUCAGUUAGUCAGGGGUGAAAUCCCGGGGCUCAACCCCGGAACUGCCUUUGAUACUGCUGGUCUGGAGGUCGAGAGAGGUGAGUGGAAUUCCGAGUGUAGAGGUGAAAUUCGUAGAUAUUCGGAGGAACACCAGUGGCGAAGGCGGCUCACUGGCUCGAUACUGACGCUGAGGUGCGAAAGCGUGGGAGCAAACAGGAUUAGAUACCCUGGUAGUCCACGCCGUAACUAUGAGAGCUAGACGUCGGGCGGCUUGCCGUUCGGUGUCGCAGCUAACGCAUUAAGCUCUCCGCCGUGGGAGUACGGCCGCAAGGUUAAAC